GUGUGCGUGGCAUAGUGGUUUGAGUGUUGGACUGUGACUCUAGAGACCAGGGUUUAAUUCCCACUGUAAUA